GGCAGCAGUGGGGAAUAUUGGACAAUGGGCGCAAGCCUGAUCCAGCCAUGCCGCGUGGAUGAUGAAGGCCCUAGGGUUGUAAAGUCCUUUUAACGGGGAAGAUAAUGACGGUACCCGUAGAAUAAGCCCCGGCUAACUUCGUGCCAGCAGCCGCGGUAAUACUCCUACGGGAGG
rnacentral:rRNA from 1 species